rnacentral:rRNA from 1 species
UACGAAGGGGGCGAGCGUUGUUCGGAAUUAUUGGGCGUAAAGGGUGCGUAGGUGGUGAGGUAAGUCGGAUGUGAAAUCUCCGAGCUCAACUCGGAAACUGCAUUGGAAACUACCUUGCUCGAGGGUUGGAGGGGGGACUGGAAUGCUUGGUGUAGCAGUGAAAUGCGUAGAUAUCAAGCGGAACACCAGUGGCGAAGGCGAGUCCCUGGACAACUCCUGACACUGAUGCACGAAAGCUAGGGGAGCAAACAGG